rnacentral:rRNA from 1 species
CCCUACGGCCAUCCCACCCGGUAACGCCCGAUCUCGUCUGAUCUCGGAAGCUAAGCAGGGUCGGGCCUGUUAGUACUUGAUGGGAGACCUCCUGGGAAUACCCGGGUGCUGUAGGGC